rnacentral:tRNA from 1 species
GUGGAUAUGGUCUAGUUGGUUAUGACGCCAGAUUGUGGCUCUGGAGAUCGAGGGUUCGAAUCCCUCUAUUCACCCCA